rnacentral:tRNA from 1 species
AGGGUAGGUGGCGAAACUGGUAGACGCAUCACACUCAAAAUGUGACAACUUUUGUUAUAAGGGUUCAAAUCCCUUCCUACCUAA